CCUACGGGGGGCUGCAGUGGGGAAUAUUGGACAAUGGGGGCAACCCUGAUCCAGCCAUGCCGCGUGUGUGAAGAAGGCCCUCGGGUUGUAAAGCACUUUCAGUGAGGAAGAACGCCUGGUGGUUAAUACCCAUCAGGAAAGACAUCACUCACAGAAGAAGCACCGGCUAACUCCGUGCCAGCAGCCGCGGUAAUACGGAGGGUGCGAGCGUUAAUCGGAAUUACUGGGCGUAAAGCGCGCGUAGGUGGCUUGAUAAGCCGGUUGUGAAAGCCCCGGGCUCAACCUGGGAACGGCAUCCGGAACUGUCAAGCUAGAGUGCAGGAGAGGAAGGUAGAAUUCCCGGUGUAGCGGUGAAAUGCGUAGAGAUCGGGAGGAUUACCAGUGGCGAAGGCGGCCUUCUGGACUGACACUGACACUGAGGUGCGAAAGCGUGGGUAGCAAACAGGAUUAGAUACCCUUGUAGUC
rnacentral:rRNA from 1 species